rnacentral:rRNA from 1 species
CCUACGGGGGGCAGCAGUAGGGAAUAUUGCUCAAUGGGGGAAACCCUGAAGCAGCAACGCCGCGUGGAGGAUGAAGGUUUUCGGAUUGUAAACUCCUUUUGUUAGAGAAGAUAAUGACGGUAUCUAACGAAUAAGCACCGGCUAACUCCGUGCCAGCAGCCGCGGUAAUACGGAGGGUGCAAGCGUUACUCGGAAUCACUGGGCGUAAAGAGCGCGUAGGCGGGAUAGCAAGUCAGAUGUGAAAUCCUAUGGCUUAACCAUAGAACUGCAUUUGAAACUGUUAUUCUAGAGUAUGGGAGAGGGAGGUGGAAUUAUUGUGGGAGGGGAAAAAUCGGUAGAAAUCAAGAGGAAUACU